GUCGUCCCACCGCCCGAACACGGAGUUCGCCGCCGCCAGGACGGAGCAGCGGGAGUUUAGCGUCGUCGUUAUACCAGCCUGAAACAACAAUAUAGGUAACCUUGGCGAUGGAGAUGGUCUGCUGUUCCAUAGCCUCGUGUAUGGCGACGCGGUCGUCUUCACGCAUCUUGUCGAACUCGUCGAUACACACCACACCGCCGUCCGCUAGUACCAUGGCACCGCCCUCCAUCACGAAGUUGCGCUGUAACAGUACAUUUAUAUGAAUAACUAUGUAUGUAUCAUGAAACACAUGUUUAUAUUUCCA